rnacentral:miRNA from 15 species
AUGGUUGACCAUAGCACAUGCG